UUAUCUAACCUUGGUUUAUCUUGUGCAAUGUAGAUUCGAGUUUCUGCUGUAUUGACCAACAGUGCAUAUCUUUUGAAUGUUGAUUGUGAUCACUAUUUCAAUAAUUGCAAAGCUCUUAAAGAAGCAAUGUGUUUCAUGAUGGAUCCCGCUUAUGGAAAGAAGACAUGCUAUGUGCAAUUUCCUCAGAGAUUUGAUGGCAUUGAUUUGCACGAUCUAUAUGCCAAUCACAAUAUUGUCUUCUUCGAUAUCAACAUGAAAGGUCAUGAUGGUAUUCAGGGUCCAGUCUCUGUGGGAACUGAUUGCUGUUUCAACAGGCAAGCUUUGUAUGUGCAUGGAAUCAUCGUUGCUGGUUAAUCUCAUACAUGACUAGCGAAUAGCGGCUACUGCAGAAAAUUGCGGAGGACCAAAGUUACGCAGAAGAAACUGCAUCUUAUGGUCAUAAUGCUGAUAUUGUCCAAGUAGCAAAGUUAUAAUUAUUCUGGAUGAACGUGAUUGGAAUGAAACAUUACGUCGGAAGCGAGAAAGUUAUUAGUGUCCAAGAAGAAGCAGAUAUUAAUGUUUGUAGACGAACAUCUACUGUCAGAACUUGUUCUCUCAUGCUCACCCAAAAGUGAACAAGCUUGGAGUCAUAGGCGAUGGGUGAUCAAGUCAAUCUCCGCAAACUGUUCAAAUUUCAAAGAGAUUUUAGGAAAAGAAUUUGAGCUGGUGGAAAAAAUAAAGAUCAAAGAUGAAUUAUCGUGCAUGGAAUCAUCGUUGCUGGUUAAUCUCAUACACGACUAACGAACAGCGGCUACUGCAGAAAAUUGCGGAGGACCAAAGUUACACAGAAGAAACUGCAUCUUAUGGUCAUAAUGCUGAUAUUGUCCAAGUAGUGAAGGACAAACUUGAUUGGAAUGAAACAUUGAUAAAGCGUUACUUCGGAAGAGAGAAUGCUAAAGCAGCUGAGUCUGAUGCGGCUCAGACAUAUUCGGCGGCUGUUAAUUGGAAAAGUCCAACUCUGGGGCGAUUCAAAUGUAAUAUUGAUGCAUUCUUUGCGUCACAUUUAAAUAGAGUUUGAAUUGGAAUAUGCAUCCGCGAUGAACUUGGUCAAUUUGUGUUUUCAAAGACGAAAUGGAUUGCCCUUCUUUGUGGAGUGGAUGUUGGUGGACCUCUUGGUGAGUAUAUGUCCCUAAAUGAUGGUAUGUCUGUUGAUGUCCCUAAAUUUAGUUUAUGUCCCUCGACGUCCCUAAAAUCGAUGGUUUGGAUGCAAUUUCAAUGUGAAUGGUUAUCCAUAACCACCAAUGUAAGUAGAGAAGACCCUUGGCGCCUUAGAUGCAAAAUUGAAUAUAUGUCCCUCAAUGUCCGUAAAUUGAAUAUAUGUUCCUAUGGUCGGAAUGCAAUUUAAAUGUGAAUGGUUAAUCUUGAUUGUCCAACAAUGUGCUAAAUUGGUGAAUCUUGAUUAUUCAAACCUAAGAAGGAUAAUUUGGAAAGAAAUUGUAUAAUGGCUAAAAGAAUUCUUAAGACAAUUAUUCAGAUGAUGUGUUUGGAGAUGACCCCAUCGAGAUGAAUUUUUUACGAAAAAUGUGGUUUACAAUAUGAAUUCUUAUUUUGUGGUCUAAAUGCAAUUUGAAUAUGAUGGUAUUAUUCAUAACUUCAAAUGAAAGUCAAGAUCACCCUUGAUAAUGAGCUUUGAUAACCACUUGUUGGCCUAAAUGCAAUUUAAUUAUUAAUGUUUAUUAAUAAUUUAAGAUGGUUGUAUGUUUAUUUUUCAUAAAUUCGGAUGAUGGUAGUGUACUAGUGUGCCUUGGCAACCAUAGAUGUAUAAAUUGAACAUAUGUCUUUGAUGACUUUGAAUGCAAAAA